rnacentral:rRNA from 1 species
GAUGAACGCUGGCGGCGUGCCUAAUACAUGCAAGUCGAGCGAACGGACGAGAAGCUUGCUUUUCUGAUGUUAGCGGCGGACGGGUGAGUAACACGUGGAUAACCUACCUAUAAGACUGGGAUAACUUCGGGAAACCGGAGCUAAUACCGGAUAAUAUUUUGAACCGCAUGGUUCAAAAGUGAAAGACGGUCUUGCUGUCACUUAUAGAUGGAUCCGCGCUGCAUUAGCUAGUUGGUAAGGUAACGGCUUACCAAGGCAACGAUGCAUAGCCGACCUGAGAGGGUGUUCGCCCACACUGGAACUGAGACCCGGUCCAGACUCCUACGGGAGGCAGCAGUAGGGAAUCUUCCGCAAUGGGCGAAAGCCUGACGGAGCAACGCCGCGUGAGUGAUGAAGGUCUUCGGAUCGUAAAACUCUGUUAUUAGGGAAGAACAUAUGUGUAAGUAACUGUGCACAUCUUGACGGUACCUAAUCAGAAAGCCACGGCUAACUACGUG